UGGGGAAUUUUGGACAAUGGGGGAAACCCUGAUCCAGCCAUCCCGCGUGUGCGAUGAAGGCCUUCGGGUUGUAAAGCACUUUUGGCAGGAAAGAAACGUCAUGGGUUAAUACCCCGUGAAACUGACGGUACCUGCAGAAUAAGCACCGGCUAACUACGUGCCAGCAGCCGCGGUAAUACGUAGGGUGCAAGCGUUAAUCGGAAUUACUGGGCGUAAAGCGUGCGCGGGCGGUUCGGAAAGAAAGAUGUGAAAUCCCAGAGCUCAACCUUGGAACUGCAUUUUUAACUACCGGGCUAGAGUUGGUCAGAGGGAGGUGGAAUUCCGCGUGUAGCAGUGAAAUGCGUAGCUAUGCGGAGGAACACCGAUGGCGAAGGCAGCCUCCUGGCAUAACACUAACGCUCAUGCACGAAAGCGUGGGGAGCAAACAGG
rnacentral:rRNA from 1 species